UGUGUGUGUGUGUGUGUGUGUGUGUGUGUGUGUGUGUGUGUGUGUGUGUGUGUGUGUGUGUGUGUGUGUGUGUGUGUGUGCGCGCGUGGUUCGUUCGUGUCUCCUGGCUAGUAAGUACCGAGGGCUUCAUCUAUCUAAAAGGAGUCAUUUCCAUCUGAAUGUGACAGCACCGGGACACAGCAGCAGAGCGAGUCAACAUCCAGAAGUCUGGAGCCGUGUUUCACUGACAGGCUGUCAGACUAACGCCCUGAUGAGCUCAGCUGGGACAAACUGGUCUGAUGUUUAGGAACACAGAACGCUCAGAUGUUGGAGCUCACGUCACCUACUGAGGAAGGAGACGCACCAGUAAAGAGACGGUCUGGACCAGACCAAAAAUAUGGCGAUGACAUCAUGGAACUGGUCUUUGGAAAAGUUUUCCCUGAACCAACUCCGUUUCUAGAUGAGGUAGAGAAGAUCUGCAUCUCACCAACUCUCUGGUCUCAGUAUUCAGACAACGGAGGUCUCCCACUGUUAUCCAGGACCAGUUUGAAGCCCACAUACUGCCCCUCCCUCAUCAUCAGGAAACAUCAAUCCGUAUCCUGAGGACAACAGAAGACGGCAGGAGGACAGGAACUCUGAGACCUAGAUACCACCAACACCGGGACACAAAGCACCUGUGUGCACAACGCCUGUUUAACUACUAAAGCCUGUUUAUUAUAUUGUUCUACUUAUUGCUGUGAGGUUAAUACUUAGAAAAUUUGUAUUUUAAUGUAAACAAUAAAAAAAUCACUGAUUGUAUGUUUUCUUUUAGAUGUAAUGGUCCAAACUCCGCCUUGUAGACAUUUAUUGCAUCCUGUAGGUAAAUACACAGAACAGGCUCAGAUCCAGGAUGACCCAGCAUGCACUUCUUCCAUUCUGGCUGUUAGGGAUUGUAUCAAUAACUCAAUGCCUACUGAUGUUUCCACCUAACGGUAUUUAUUUAGAAUGCAGGUAAGAUUUAACUAUAUUUGUUAGCAAAGCAGACUGAUCUUGGGAAUUUCACUGCAGCACUGAUGUCCACCUCUCUGUACACAUUAGAGAGAAUUACCACUUUACAGCUAAACACAUUUACUAAAGAUAUAGGCUACGCAUUGCAGACAAUAAAAACAAAGUUCUAAGCAUUAGAAUUAUAAUGAUCACAUUAAAUAACAUUUGGAGGAAUGUUCUUUAUUUUUGACUAGAAUCUCAAAUCUUUAAAUUAAAAUGUAACUGCUUUUUAUCCAUUUUCAGCCAUUAAGACACCCAAUAUUAAAUAAGACUACUUAUAAAAUUAUUUAUAAUUAUAUGUAUGUAUAUAUAUAUAUAGAUAGAGAUCUUAAUAAAAU